CAGCCGCCGCGGUAAUACGUAGGUCCCGAGCGUUGUCCGGAUUUAUUGGGCGUAAAGCGAGCGCAGGCGGUUAGAUAAGUCUGAAGUUAAAGGCUGUGGCUUAACCAUAGUACGCUUUGGAAACUGUUUAACUUGAGUGCAAGAGGGGAGAGUGGAAUUCCAUGUGUAGCGGUGAAAUGCGUAGAUAUAUGGAGGAACACCGGUGGCGAAAGCGGCCCUCUGGCUUGUAACUGACGCUGAGGCUCGAAAGCGUGGGGAGCAAACAGGAUUAGAUACCCCGGUAGUCCCUGUCUCUUAUACA
rnacentral:rRNA from 1 species